GUGGGGAAUAUUGGGCAAUGGGCGCAAGCCUGACCCAGCAAUGCCGCGUGAAGGAAGAAGGCCCUCGGGUUGUAAACUUCUUUUAUCAGGGACGAAGGAUGUGACGGUACCUGAUGAAUAAGCUCCGGCUAACUACGUGCCAGCAGCCGCGGUAAUACGUAGGGAGCAAGCGUUAUCCGGAUUUACUGGGUGUAAAGGGCGCGUAGGCGGGAUGGCAAGUCAGAUGUGAAAUCCAAGGGCUCAACCCUUGAACUGCAUUUGAAACUGUCGUUCUUGAGUACUGGAGAGGUUGACGGAAUUCCUAGUGUAGCGGUGAAAUGCGUAGAUAUUAGGAGGAACACCAGUGGCGAAGGCGGUCAACUGGACAGCAACUGACGCUGAGGCGCGAAAGCGUGGGGAGCAAACAGG
rnacentral:rRNA from 1 species